CUCUCUCUCUCACCCUCAACCUCACCCUUUCUCUCUCUUAACCUUCAUCUCUCUUUCGAAUCUCAAUAACGAAAGCAUAAAUCUUCUUAAUUUCGUGUUUUCGGGUCUCUGGCAUACAAAUUUCGACAAGUUCUUCUUCAAUUCUUCUUAAUUUCGUGUUUUCGGAUCUCUGGCAUACAAAUUUCGACAAGUUCUUCUUCAAUUUCGAAGAGUUCUUCAAUUCCGACAAGUUAUUCUUCAAUUUCGAAGAGUUCUUCAAUUUCGACAAGUUCUUCUUCAAUUUCGAAGAGUUCUUCGAUUUUCAGAUCUGAAGGAGGAAGAGAAGAAAUUGCAGACAAGAUCUUACAUUUCGGUUGUUUCAUUAUUUUCAGAUUUUUAUAUUUCUGUUGUUUAAGCGUAGGAUUUUCAGAUUUUUUUAUAUUUCGAUUGUUUUAGGAUUUCGCUGAACACUUCAUAUUAUUCCAGAUUUUUUUCAUUCUAUACUGGAUGUACAAGUGAUAUAAUUUUUUGGUUCGUUUCAUCGACCUCGCUGUAUAAUUUCAUUGUUUAAUUUCAGAUUUUUAUAUUUCGAUUGUUUAAUUUAUUUUAUUUUGAUGA